rnacentral:rRNA from 1 species
UGGGGAAUAUUGGACAAUGGGCGCAAGCCUGAUCCAGCCAUGCCGCGUGAGUGAUGAAGGCCUUAGGGUUGUAAAGCUCUUUUAGCAGGGAAGAUAAUGACGGUACCUGCAGAAAAAGCCCCGGCUAACUUCGUGCCAGCAGCCGCGGUAAUACGAAGGGGGCUAGCGUUGCUCGGAAUUACUGGGCGUAAAGCGCACGUAGGCGGACUCUUAAGUCGGUGGUGAAAUCCUGGAGCUCAACUCCAGAACUGCCUUCGAUACUGGGAGUCUUGAGUUCGGGAGAGGUGAGUGUAACUGCGAGUGUAGAGGUGAAAUUCGUAGAUAUUCGCAAGAACACCAGUGGCGAAGGCGGCUCACUGGCCCGAUACUGACGCUGAGGUGCGAAAGCGUGGGGAGCAAACA